GAUAACAAAUGUUUUCUUGCACUUGUUAUUCUUCAGGUUUCUGCAACCAUUUCCGCUAGCAUGAUGCGACAGGCCUGUAUCGACCUCUGCUGGGUUGAUUACGUCAUAUCUUUAAGACCCAUAUACUCAUUCAAAGCCGGCUCCCGCAACUUCCGUCACAGAGGCUUUAUUUUCGCCGAUUGUGGUAUGUUGAUGACGUAACAGCCCUCCUCGACAACUUCCGGUUAGGAGCUGAGCAUCACAGAGGUUUUAUGUGGACAUGAACACGUCAGAUACAUCUACAUACAGAGAGAAAACGAAGAAUGUGUUUUAACAGUUUGUCUGACUCAGUGACUAAAAUGACUGUAUGUUCGG